ACAAAAAAAAAGGCCAACCCU
rnacentral:miRNA from 1 species